rnacentral:rRNA from 2 species
CUGGCUGGUCGAAGAUACCAGGCCGCUGCGACUGUUUAUUAAAAACACAGCACUCUGCAAACACGAAAGUGGACGUAUAGGGUGUGACGCCUGCCCGGUGCCGGAAGGUUAAUUGAUGGGGUUAGCGCAAGCGAAGCUCUUGAUCGAAGCCCCGGUAAACGGCGGCCGUAACUAUAACGGUCCUAAGGUAGCGAAAUUCCUUGUCGGGUAAGUUCCGACCUGCACGAAUGGCGUAACGAUGGCGGCGCUGUCUCCACCCGAGACUCAGUGAAAUUGAAAUCGCUGUGAAGAUGCAGUGUAUCCGCGGCUAGACGGAAAGACCCCGUGAACCUUUACUGUAGCUUUGCACUGGACUUUGAGCCUGCUUGUGUAGGAUAGGUGGGAGGCUUUGAAGCGUGGACGCCAGUUCGCGUGGAGCCAUCCUUGAAAUACCACCCUGGCAUGCUUGAGGUUCUAACUCUGGUCCGUGAUCCGGAUCGAGGACAGUGUAUGGUGGGCAGUUUGACUGGGGCGGUCUCCUCCUAAAGAGUAACGGAGGAGUACGAAGGUGCGCUCAGACCGGUCGGAAAUCGGUCGCAGAGUAUAAAGGCAAAAGCGCGCUUGACUGCGAGACAGACACGUCGAGCAGGUACGAAAGUAGGUCUUAGUGAUCCGGUGGUUCUGUAUGGAAGGGCCAUCGCUCAACGGAUAAAAGGUACUCCGGGGAUAACAGGCUGAUACCGCCCAAGAGUUCAUAUCGACGGCGGUGUUUGGCACCUCGAUGUCGGCUCAUCACAUCCUGGGGCUGAAGCCGGUCCCAAGGGUAUGGCUGUUCGCCAUUUAAAGUGGUACGCGAGCUGGGUUUAGAACGUCGUGAGACAGUUCGGUCCCUAUCUGCCGUGGACGUUUGAGAUUUGAGAGGGGCUGCUCCUAGUACGAGAGGACCGGAGUGGACGAACCUCUGGUGUUCCGGUUGUCACGCCAGUGGCAUUGCCGGGUAGCUAUGUUCGGAAAAGAUAACCGCUGAAAGCAUCUAAGCGGGAAACUUGCCUCAAGAUGAGAUCUCACUGGGAACUUGAUUCCCCUGAAGGGCCGUCGAAGACUACGACGUUGAUAGGCUGGGUGUGUAAGCGUUGUGAGGCGUUGAGCUAACCAGUACUAAUUGCCCGUGAGGCUUGACCAU